rnacentral:rRNA from 1 species
UACGAAGGGGGCUAGCGUUGCUCGGAAUCACUGGGCGUAAAGGGCGCGUAGGCGGCUUUGUAAGUCGGGGGUGAAAGCCUGUGGCUCAACCACAGAAUUGCCUUCGAUACUGCAUGGCUUGAGACCGGAAGAGGUUAGUGGAACUGCGAGUGUAGAGGUGAAAUCCGUAGAUAUUCGCAAGAACACCAGUGGCGAAGGCGGCUGACUGGUCCGGUUCUGACGCUGAGGCGCGAAAGCGUGGGGAGCAAACAGG